rnacentral:misc_RNA from 1 species
AAAUUUAUUGUUCGGUCAACCAUGAAAGAACUUAGACGUCUAUGACCAACACUACAGGGGAAGUUACUCUUUCCGUAUUUCAGAUGGCUGUCAAUAGUGGAAAUGUUGAUGUAGUCGUUCAACAUGACUUUAUAAACAUACCAGAAUGCGAACAUGGUCCUGCAUUAAUGUUUUCAAGAUUUGACAAGAAGUAUGGUUCAGAGAGACGAUUCUUUGCCUGUUCAGCAUUUAGAGACCGCAAAGCGUGUCCUUUCUUCAAAUGGGUAGAUGAAGUGAAAGGUUCAAACAAAAACAGGCCAGUGUAUCACACUGGAGAGUCUGGCCUUUGGCCUUCAUACAGUCAUGCAGCAAUGAGGAAAAGGUUUUCUGAGUUCAAGAAAUUGAAAGAAUCUGAGAGAUAUAUCUGUACUAACUGUGGUCUGUUGUUGUUGCCAGGGGAACGUACAUCUCAUGAAGGUCAAGGUCACAAAUUGAGGUCAAACAUUUCCAACAAAAUGCUUGUUAAACCAACCCAGCUGUUCACACCUCUAGAGAACAACAAAACAUUUGCUCAAUACCUUUUUUCCACCUCAACAGUUGAUUUCAUACUGGACACAUUAUCUUCUCUGAAUGUGACUCACAUCCUGUGUGUUGGAUGCCCAAGAAUUCAUGAGGCUGUACAGAUCAGAUGCAAAGAUGAGUCGUCCCAGCAAUUGCAAAGUUUAUUGUUGGAUCUGGAUCAUAGAUUUCUGCAGGUGUUUCCUCAAUCCCAGUUUUGCCGCUACAAUAUGCUGAAUCAUCAUUUCUUUGGUGGGGACACAGAUAGGCAGACGUAUAAUGAUUUCAUCGCAGGGAAUGCUGGGAAGAAGGUUGCCAUGGUGAUUGAUCCUCCUUUUGGGGUUAUGGUUGAUGCACUUAAUAUUACUAUAAAUAGAAUACAGGAAGAUUCGAGGGACAAUAGAGGUUGUGAAGAUGCCAAUGAGAUGCCAGUGUUUUGGUUUUUUCCUUACUUCAUGGAGCAAAGAGUAGUAACACCUAGUUCCAGCUACACAAUGUUAGAUUAUAAGGUUGACUAUGAUAACCAUGACCUGUUCCGUGGAGAAAAAGGCAGGAAGAAAGGCUCGCCAGUCAGAAUCUUCACAAACCUCUCACCAAAAAUGAUUGCAUUGCCAGCAUCAGAGGGUUAUUGUUAUUGUAAGGAAUGUGAACAAUACCGUGCACUGGAGAAUAAGCACUGCAACAAAUGCAGCACAUGUCCUACAAAGGAUGGGAACACCUAUAUUCACUGUGAUAAAUGCAGCAGAUGUGUAAAACCAUCCCGUGUUCAUUGUGAAACCUGUAAUAUAUGUGAUCUCCCAGAACACAAAUGUGGACAGUCUGUGACUAAAGGUAAGUGAACGUAUGUGAUCUCCCAGAACACAAAUGUGGACAGUCUGUGACUAAAGGUUGUCAUAUUUGUGGAGCGAUGGACCAUAAGAGAAGAGAAUGUCCAAAUAAGAAAUCACUUACAGAGAGUUCAAAUCCCAGACCAAUCAAAAGAAAAGGAAGUCAUCAACCACUACAUAAAAAGAAGAAGAAAACAAAGUGAAUUAUGAGAAUGAUUUUUAUUGUAUCAAAAUACUGGGUAAAAUAAAAUUCUUGUAAUAGUAA